CUGAUUCCAAUUACAAGUCCACCACAUGCUCCCUGCAUGCACUGAGGAGGUAAUCAACCUUCCUGAGCCUCUGUUGCUUCAUCUCUAGAAGAGUCCUCGUAAUACCUGCCGGUCUAGUAUGCAUCCCACCGAAUCACAACCUCCUAUCGUUGCCUUGUCAUCAAGUCUUUGAGGGAUUGUGGAUCAGGGAUGGAAGGAGCGAAGGAGUGACAGACUCGUUGGUAAUACAGAAUGGUAAUUCAUUGUCUCAGUUGAUCUAUAAUGUUAAUCAAAUGCUUCAGGACAGAGCUUAAUUAUUGAAUUUUGGUGACUGGUGUAAAGAGCUCCUGUGUGCCACCUGCAGCCAUGACACUAGAGGCUUCUGAUUGGCUGAAGUCACCCGGGACUAGUGGUUAAAAU